GCCGAAGUGGCGAAACUGGCAGACGCGCACGUUUCAGGGGCGUGUUCCCGCAAGGGAGUGCGGGUUCGACCCCCGCCUUCGGCA
rnacentral:tRNA from 1 species